GAGCGUUCUGUUGUAGGUUGAAGCAUUAACGUAAGUGGGUGUGGACGAAGCAGAAGUGAGAAUGUCGGCUUGAGUAGCGAAAACAUUGGUGAGAAUCCAAUGCCCCGAAAACCUAAGGUUUCCCCCGGAAGGCUCGUCCGCGGGGGGUGAGUCAGGACCUAAGGCGAGGUCGAAAGACGUAGUCGAUGGACAAUAGGUUAAUAUUCCUAUACCGUUUUUUAUUGGCAACGAGGGACGAAGAAGGCUAAACUUAUCCAGAUAGUGGUCACUGGUCCAAGCAUUCAAGGUUAUGAGAAAUAGUGAAAAUAUUUUGAGCUGAGAUGUGAUGGGGAGAUACUUAGUAUUGAAGUAGUUGAUGUCAUGCUUCCAAGAAAAGCUUGCACUGUCAUAAAUAGAAAACGCCUGUACCCUAAACCGACACAGGUAGGUAGGUAGAGUAUACUAAGGGGCGCGAGAUAACUCUCUCUAAGGAACUCGGCAAAAUAACCCCGUAACUUUGGGAGAAGGGGUACCCUAUGGGUUGCAAUAACAAGGUCCAAGCGACUGUUUAUCAAAAACACAGGUCUCCGCGAAGUCGAAAGACAAUGUAUGGGGGCUGACGCCUGCCCAGUGCCGGAAGGUUAAAGAAGCUGGUUAGCAGUAGCGAAGCUAGUGACUGAAGCCCCGGUGAACGGCGGCCGUAACUAUAACGGUCCUAAGGUAGCGAAAUUCCUUGUCGGGUAAGUUCCGACCCGCACGAAAGGUGUAACGAGUGGAGCACUGUCUCAACGAGGGACCCGGCGAAAUUGAAGUACGUGUAAAGAUGCGCGUUACCCGCAGCAGGACAAAAAGACCCUGUGGAGCUUUACUGUAGCCUGUCAUUGCGUUAGGGCAUGGCUUGUGUAGCAUAGCUGGGAGUCUGGGAAACCU
rnacentral:rRNA from 14 species